rfam:Oryza sativa Japonica Group DNA, chromosome 2, cultivar: Nipponbare, complete sequence.
UUUAAGCACGGUCAGGAGUUUCUAAUGUUUAACUUUGAUCGUCUGUCUUAUUUGAUUUUUUUAUGAUUAAUAUUUUUACUAUUAUUAGAUGACAAAACAUGAACAGUAAUCUAUGUAUGACUUAUGUUUUUUAAUUUUUUUUUAAAAAACUAAAUAAGACAGACGAUUAAAGUUAGACACGGAAACUCAUGGUUGUAAUUAAA